CACAGGUGAGGCACCUAGGGCAGGCCUGCUUCGUCAGUCCUCCCCAGCUCUCCUAUCCAGGUGGCUACUCCUCCAGACCCCACCUGCCCCAACAGCUGGAGGGCGAAGCUGCUGCAGGCAUGGGAGGCAGAGGAAUGGUGGAGGAGCUGGGGUGCUGGGCGUGCAGUAGUGCUUGACUGGAAACCGGACGAAGCUGCAGAUGGGAGAGGCACUGCUUGAACACUCCUGCCGCAUCCAUCACUCCGGGCACCUCCUGCAGUGCACACGGUCUCACUUUGAUUUUAAUCCCACCAAUAGCAGGAAGGAGAGUUUCGUUCCUGUUGCCCAGGCUGGAGUGCAAUGGUGGGAUCUUGGCUCACUGCAACCUCUGCUUCCGUGGUUCAAGCGAUUCUCUUGCCUCAGCCUCCCGAGUAGCUGGGA
rnacentral:lncRNA from 1 species